rnacentral:rRNA from 1 species
UACAGAGGUCCCGAGCGUUGUUCGGAUUCAUUGGGCGUAAAGGGUGCGUAGGCGGCGCGGUAAGUCGGGUGUGAAAUCUCGGAGCUUAACUUCGAAACUGCAUUCGAUACUGCCGUGCUUGAGGACUGGAGAGGAGACUGGAAUUUACGGUGUAGCGGUGAAAUGCGUAGAUAUCGUAAGGAAGACCAGUGGCGAAGGCGGGUCUCUGGACAGUUCCUGACGCUGAGGCACGAAGGUCAGGGGAGCAAACGGG